AAGAUUGUUCAAGUAGAAGAACCUUUUCAACAGGAGACCAGUUUUCACCCAAAUCUUCUCACUGGCAAUGUUAGUAGCAUCCAUGAUGAUGGUAUUAUUAACCCACCGCAAUCUUUCUUUACCCUGUGAGAUGUAAAUAUAUCAUAUACAAAAGAAAGAAAAAGAUAAAUCCAAUCUAUGUAAAACAUUUAAAGUUCUAACUGAUUGAUUACUCGUGUAAUUAAUAAUUUAACACUAUCAUAAACAAAUUUGCGCAGAACUGAGACUAAAAUCAGCACUAUUCUUUUACCCCAAAUGUCUUCUUCAUUGAUGAAUCUAAGUAUCUAACACACAAACUGUAUUAUGUAUCCAGGUAAUGGUUUGUUAUUAUUCAUAACAUCUCUAGAAAUUAGAAUAAAAGAAUCCUAUACCACUUUCAAUUUGGGAGAUUGAAUGAAUGCAAUGGUUGAUGAUAUUACCUGGAUUUUCAAUAUGUGGAAAUUCCUUCUCGAAGCCUGUCUGCAUCUAUACUACUACUAUACAUUGCACAAACCAAAAAAAUUGUGAAUCAAGCCAUCUGCUAGAUUUUGAAUGGGUAGCUUCUUUAAAAUAUUCCUAUAAGCUAAUGCUAAUGGUAGUUGAUCCGGAAUCAUAUGUACAGUUAAAUUUGGCAUCAAAGCUCAUGCAUAAUAAGUAGGUUGGAUACGGAUGUGAUGCCAAUAAGAUAAUGGUCUGGUUGCUUCACCUGAUUGGACCCAAAUCUACCACCUUGUUUUGGCUAUAUAAAUAGUUAUUCCAUGACAGAACAAGCAUCUAAUCUACUUCUCAUGAAGACCGGAGAGUAGUAGUAGAAUUGAAGCAAGCAAGUAAAUAAACAAGAAGCGUGCAUACCUGAAGAAGAUUCCCGUAAAAGAAGAAAACCGAGCACGGAGGACCCUGCACUCUUCGUAAAGCUGACGGAAUUGAUCACACAACACCUUGAUAACCUCGCCGACUAC
rnacentral:lncRNA from 1 species